rnacentral:rRNA from 1 species
GAAAGGACUGCUAAUACCGCAUACGUCGGCUGAUUCUGCGGAAUCGGCCGGGAAAGCUAGGGAUCUUCGGACCUGGCACUGAUGGAGGGGCCCGCGGCGCAUCAGCUUGUUGGUGGGGUAACGGCCUACCAAGGCGAAGACGCGUAGCUGGUCUGAGAGGAUGAUCAGCCACACUGGGACUGAGACACGGCCCAGACUCCUACGGGAGGCAGCAGUGGGGAAUAUUGGACAAUGGGGGCAACCCUGAUCCAGCCAUCCCGCGUGAGUGAUGAAGGCCCUCGGGUCGUAAAGCUCUGUGGAGAGGGACGAACGUCCGUACGUUAAUAGCGUGCGGGGUGACGGUACCUCUUUAGCAAGCACCGGCUAACUCCGUGCCAGCAGCCGCGGUAAUACGGAGGGUGCAAACGUUGCUCGGAAUUAUUGGGCGUAAAGCGCUCGUAGGCGGUUUCGUAAGUCGGAUGUGAAAGCCCUAGGCUUAACCAANGGAAGUGCAUUCGAAACUGUGAGACUUGAGUAUGGGAGAGGGUUGUGGAAUUCCCGGUGUAGAGGUGAAAUUCGUAGAUAUCGGGAGGAACACCAGAGGCGAA